GACGAACGCUGGCGGCGUGCUUAACACAUGCAAGUCGAACGAUGAAGCCCAGCUUGCUGGGUGGAUUAGUGGCGAACGGGUGAGUAACACGUGGGCAACCUGCCCCAAACUCUGGGAUAACCCCUCGAAAGAGGAGCUAAUACCGGACACGGACUGGACAGACAUCUGUACCAGUUGGAAAGUUUUUCGGUUUGGGAUGGGCCCGCGGCCUAUCAGCUUGUUGGUGAGGUAACGGCUCACCAAGGCUACGACGGGUAACCGGCCUGAGAGGGCGACCGGUCACACUGGGACUGAGACACGGCCCAGACUCCUACGGGAGGCAGCAGUGGGGAAUAUUGCGCAAUGGGCGAAAGCCUGACGCAGCGACGCCGCGUGAGGGAUGAAGGUCUUCGGAUCGUAAACCUCUUUCAGUAGGGACGAAGCGAAAGUGACGGUACCUAAAGAAGAAGCACCGGCUAACUACGUGCCAGCAGCCGCCGUAA
rnacentral:rRNA from 1 species